UGAGCAUUAGUUACUCAGGAGGGUGUUUAGUGAGCAGACAGCCUCUUGGAUUAGAGAUUGUUAUACAAAUGUCAUUCUUUAUCAUCAUCAUCUAACUUUUCAAGAGCAGAGUUAAGAAAGAAACUUUCCUAAUAUCACCAAUUAUCCAGUUGAAUCAUGAAACACAAAAGAAAAAUAAAACAUCUGGAACCUUCAUUGUUAAACUAAACAGAAAAGAGACCAAGAGACUUGUGGAAGUCUCCAGAAGAUGCUGCUGAGACACCGAGGAAUGUCCUAGCCUCCAGUCAGGGAGGAGAGAAUUCCACAGACACAGAGCUUUGCCUUUGUGUCUCUUCAGCAACCCUGCAAGUUGCUGCAACACAUGAAGGCAGGGAGAUCUGAAUGUGACCUGAACUUGGACGAUAGGCACCCCAGAGCUGCUUGUCCAAGUCUUGGAUCCUCUUAGAUGUCUCUAUAUCAAGGCAUGAUGGAGAUAAAGAAUUUCUCUUUUAAUUCACACUCCCCUUCAACUUCCUCCUCGGUCAGCACCCCAUCAUGGUCCUCAGAAUCUUCUGAAAAGAAAAAGGUCAUGAACCUUUACUACAUCCGUGUCCCCCAAAAAAGGGGUGUGGCUCUCUUAGAGGAUGCAAAAGAAUUAGAGCCCCUCCCCAAGAGAGGAUAAAAACAGCCAGC
ensembl:lncRNA